CCUACGGGAGGCAGCAGUGAGGAAUAUUGGUCAAUGGACGCAAGUCUGAACCAGCCAUGCCGCGUGCAGGAAGACGGCUCUAUGAGUUGUAAACUUCUUUUAUAUGGGAAUAAAAUGUUCCACGUGUGGGAUUUUGUAUGUACCAUAUGAAUAAGGAUCGGCUAACUCCGUGCCAGCAGCCGCGGUAAUACGGAGGAUCCGAGCGUUAUCCGGAUUUAUUGGGUUUAAAGGGAGCGUAGGCGGACUGUUAAGUCAGCGGUAAAAGCCCGGGGCUCAACCCCGGCGAGCCGUUGAAACUGGCUGUCUUGAGAUGUCGAGAGGUAUGCGGAAUGCGCAGUGUAGCGGUGAAAUGCUUAGAUAUUGCGCAGAACUCCGAUUGCGAAGGCAGCAUACCGGCGGCGAUCUGACGCUGAGGCACGAAAGCGUGGGUAUCGAACAGGAUUAGAUACCCGGGUAGUC
rnacentral:rRNA from 1 species